ACAAGGAGUCUCGCGAGCAGCUGAUUACUUGUAACGGACUGCAGGAUGGAUAUAAAGUUAUAAAAUACGUUUUGGUUUUACAACAUCGUUCAUAUGUGAACUAUCACAAUUAAAGCACAAAGAUAUAACAACAUUACACUCCUAGGCCAUUCACAAAUGCUACAAAAGAGAAGAACGCCGCUUCAGCACUGAUCUGUAGGUCUGUAGCGCACGCGGGAGAGUGUCAACCCCUAAUUGACAUAAGGAAACAAAUCAUUGAAAAGUGUUCAGUGUACACCUGUUUGCAACAGAGGAAGCAUUUGGAAAGAGGAGAAGAGAGAAAGUGAGAAGGCACUCAACAGAUGUUGGAAAAUGCACUGGUAACAACUAAAAUAAAGAAGACCAAAAAUAUAAUUCAACAGAAGAUGAUGACUCUGGUGAAACAAGCCAUCAAAUAAUGGGGAGCAGUAAUCUAUUUUAUCUUUUAUUAACUAUUAUCUUUAUAGUUUAGAAUACAUAAUAGCUGCUAUUGUAUUUCAGGAACUAAGACCUGUGGGAGUGCUGGAGAAACCAAGUGUACCAUGUCCUCCGUCGUCUCAGCCAUGGAAGAGAUCUUCAGACAUGAAGAGAUCGAGGAGUUAAAUUAAAUCAAAGAGGAUUUACAAUGUUAGUGCCAAGUCAGUAUGAAAACAGAGAGAGAGCUGAGGGAGUGGAAAGGUAAUGAAAUCUAUAACCCCAAAUCAGAAAAAGUUGGGACAGUAUGGAAAACGCAAAUAAAAAAAGAAAGUAGUGAUUUCCAAAUUUACUUUGACUUGUAUAUCAUUGCAGACAAUAUGAACAAAAUAUUUCAUGUUUUGUUUGGUCAACUUCAUGUCAUUUGUAAAUAUACAUCCUUUCCUGUCAUUCAGACCUGCAACACAUUCCAAAAAAAGUUGACAUAAUUAAAUUGACAUAUACUUGCAAAGUUACUCAUUGUCAGUAUGUUGUAUGUUGUGGAUCCAUCAAAAUAAAGUGUUAGAAGAUAUUAAGCAGACAGUCUACUAAUACUCUAAUGACUGCUA